UAAAGUUAUUAGUUACAGUCAAGUCUUAUGACUAAUUAUUUAAACACUGGUUUUACGUACCUAAACACUGAUUCUUUCCAAUUUCCUCUAAAUAUUGUUUUCUCAGUCGCGUCUACAUGCUUUUGUUUGUUCCGCAUCGCCUUGUAGUAUUGGGCCUUGUAUGGGCCACUUUAAUGACGUUAGAAACUGGAAUGAAGGAAAUACUUCUCAAAAAAGACCUUACUAACAAAGAAAAUUGAGUCUUGAAACAAGGGUUUACGACAAAGAAAAUUGAGUCUUGAAACAUUUCUAUUAAAGAAUUUUUGUCACAUUAUCUUAAUACAGUAGAACCUUUUAUAAAUUAAUACUCUAUAAAUUAAUAACCUCUAUAAAUUAAUAAAUUCUUCCAGUUUCGAAUUGAGACCAAUGUAAAAUGUGAUACAAAUCGAUAAAUUAAUAAGAUAAUAAUUUUUUUGAAAGUCCUAUGUAAAUAUAUAGUCCCAUCAAUAUCAUAAAUUAAUAAUUAUAUAAAUGUAUCAACUAUAUAUAUAUAUAUAU
rnacentral:sRNA from 1 species